UAGCAGGGGGGUGCAAACGUUGCUCGGAAUCAUUGGGCGUAAAGCGCACGUAGGCGGUUCGUUAUGUCGGAUGUGAAAGCCCUUGGCUUAACCGAGGAAGUGCAUCCGAAACUGGCGAGCUAGAGUACUAAAGAGGAUCGCGGAAUUCCCGGUGUAGAGGUGAAAUUCGUAGAUAUCGGGAGGAACACCGGUGGCGAAGGCGGCGAUCUGGGUAGAUACUGACGCUGAGGUGCGAAAGCGUGGGGAGCAAACAGG
rnacentral:rRNA from 1 species